rnacentral:rRNA from 1 species
AUUGAACGCUGGCGGCAUGCUUUACACAUGCAAGUCGAACGGCAGCGCGGGCUUCGGCCUGGCGGCGAGUGGCGAACGGGCGAGUAAUGCAUCGGAACGUGCCCAGUAGUGGGGGAUAGCCCGGCGAAAGCCGGAUUAAUACCGCAUACGACCUGAGGGUGAAAGCGGGGGACCGAAAGGCCUCGCGCUAUUUGAGCGGCCGAUGUCGGAUUAGCUAGUUGGUGGGGUAAAGGCUUACCAAGGGGACGAUCCGUAGCUGGUCUGAGAGGACGACCAGCCACACUGGGACUGAGACACGGCCCAGACUCCUACGGGAGGCAGCAGUGGGGAAUUUUGGACAAUGGGGGCAACCCUGAUCCAGCCAUGCCGUGUGCGGGAAGAAGGCCUUCGGGUUGUAAACCGCUUUUGUUCGGGAAGAAAUCCUCUGGGCUAAUACCCCGGGGGGAUGACGGUACCGGAAGAAUAAGCACCGGCUAACUACGUG